CCUACGGGAGGCAGCAGUGGGGAAUAUUGGACAAUGGGGGCAACCCUGAUCCAGCCAUGCCGCGUGUGUGAAGAAGGCCCUCGGGUUGGAAAGCACUUUCAGUGAGGAAGAACGCCUGGUGGUUAAUACCCAUCAGGAAAGACAUCACUCACAGAAGAAGCACCGGCUAACUCCGUGCCAGCAGCCGCGGUAAUACGGAGGGUGCGAGCGUUAAUCGGAAUUACUGGGCGUAAAGCGCGCGUAGGUGGCUUGAUAAGCCGGUUGUGAAAGCCCCGGGCUCAACCUGGGAACGGCAUCCGGAACUGUCAAGCUAGAGUGCAGGAGAGGAAGGUAGAAUUCCCGGUGUAGCGGUGAAAUGCGUAGAGAUCGGGAGGAAUACCAGUGGCGAAGGCGGCCUUCUGGACUGACACUGACACUGAGGUGCGAAAGCGUGGGUAGCAAACAGGAUUAGAUACCCUUGUAGUC
rnacentral:rRNA from 1 species